rnacentral:lncRNA from 1 species
UGGUGGGGCCACAUGGAAUCUAUUACUGAGAGUGGAGCGGGGUAGUGGCCAUUGUCGUGACUUGCCAGAGAGUUUGGGUCUGAUGGUUGAAGCUCGGUUGGAACAUCUGAUGGAGUAGCAUGGCUCUCUGUCUCUGCAAUCUAAGAGAGGCUCGGAUGUUUUCGAGAUAGCUGACGAGUCCCCUGUUGUCGGGUGCCUAGAGCGCUGAUGCUGCAGGCGAAAGUCAUCUGCUGUAGAAGCUCG